UAAUCCCCUCUGACUUGUCUUCGCUGGUAUGAUGGAUGGUAUUGGUAUCCCCUCUGCAAUUUGGAUUAGUUUGUAAGAGUUUAGACACUACUGGUAUUCGCCUAUUUGCUGCCCAAAAAUGGCCGAAAUUGAUAGUAAAUGGAAGAAGACUGCUCUUCUGGUCAUAGACAUGCAGAAUGAUUUUAUCCUCCCAGGAGGUCCAAUGCUCGUUAAAGGUGGGCAAGCUAUUGUUCCCAACGUCAUCAAGGCUGUAGAGGUUGCCAGAGGACGGGGCAUCCCUAUAAUUUGGGUUGUUCGUGAGCACGACCCUUCAGGGAGAGACGUCGAAUUAUUCCGCAGGCAUUUGUACUCUCCGGGGAAACCAAAGCCAACAUCUAAGGGCAGUUUUGGAGCAGAAUUAGUUGAUGGCCUUGAAAUUAAGGGAGAUGAUUAUAAGCUGGUGAAGACACGUUUCAGUGCGUUUUUCAAUACCCACCUUCAUUCAUAUCUUCAGGGUGCUGGAAUUAGUAAUUUAGUUUUCACCGGUGUCCAAACUCCAAAUUGUAUCCGGCAAACUGUCUUCGAUGCAGUGGCAUUGGAUUAUCAAUCUGUAACUGUAAUUAUUGAUGCUACAGCUGCUGCUACACCUGAAAUACAUGUUGGUAUGCAAUUCAUGUCUUCAAUCACAUCAGCGAGUUUUAUACAGAAAGGUUUUCUUUUGCUCAAAUGGGGAAUUCCCCAUCUACACCAUCUUAGCCUCAAUGUGCACUAAAAGAUGGCUUCACUGUGCAUGUGGAUUAGAACUUGUAUCACUGUACUUGCUGCAAUUGAAUGAGUGCGAGGGCACUGCCCAUUUGUUGUCAUUUUUGUACCCUGAUAUCUUCAAUUCCCAGCAUGUUAAACUUCUCUAAAUGAAGUUAUGGAAACCAUUCCAUGCCCUGCAAAUAUACUGGACAUGAACAACAUUGGAGUCGCUGCGCCAACACUCGCAGAAUGGGCUGAAUCCAAUACCUGAAGUAUAGUCGGUGUCAGUCGGGUAACAGUAGAGUCCUUAAAGACUGAAUUUCAGCUGGUCAUAUCAUAUCCCAGAAGCUGAAUAUUAGGCUCUGCGCUCCCUGAUUUCAAGUAAUCAGCAGGUUUUUGCUUGCUUUGGCUUCUGUCAUUGUGAUUCAGAAGUCUCUUUUGUUGGCUAGUUCGCAUUGAAUGCAGAUGGCUUCAGCUGUUGCUGCUCUGUUGUAGUAGUUUCUCAAUAAUGUUCAGAACCGUGCCUUGGCUUUCUUCUUUUGGAACGUUUUUAUGUUUCUGGCUUUGGAAGGCAAGAUGGAAAAGUUUAAUGGAGAAAAACUCCCCCGGGCAAAA